rnacentral:rRNA from 1 species
GGGUGGCGGACGGGUGAGUAACGCGUAAAGAACUUGCCUCACAGCUAGGGACAACAUUUAGAAAUGAAUGCUAAUACCUGAUAUUAUGAUUUUAAGGCAUCUUAGAAUUAUGAAAGCUAUAAGCACUGUGAGAGAGCUUUGCGUCCCAUUAGCUAGUUGGAGAGGUAACAGCUCACCAAGGCGAUGAUGGGUAGCCGGCCUGAGAGGGUGAACGGCCACAAGGGGACUGAGACACGGCCCUU